GUCGAACGCUUCUUUUUCCACCGGAGCUUGCUCCACCGGAAAAAGAGGAGUGGCGAACGGGUGAGUAACACGUGGGUAACCUGCCCAUCAGAAGGGGAUAACACUUGGAAACAGGUGCUAAUACCGUAUAACAAUCGAAACCGCAUGGUUUUGAUUUGAAAGGCGCUUUCGGGUGUCGCUGAUGGAUGGACCCGCGGUGCAUUAGCUAGUUGGUGAGGUAACGGCUCACCAAGGCCACGAUGCAUAGCCGACCUGAGAGGGUGAUCGGCCACAUUGGGACUGAGACACGGCCCAAACUCCUACGGGAGGCAGCAGUAGGGAAUCUUCGGCAAUGGACGAAAGUCUGACCGAGCAACGCCGCGUGAGUGAAGAAGGUUUUCGGAUCGUAAAACUCUGUUGUUAGAGAAGAACAAGGAUGAGAGUAACUGUUCAUCCCUUGACGGUAUCUAACCAGAAAGCCACGGCUAACUACGUGCCAGCAGCCGCGGUAAUACGUAGGUGGCAAGCGUUGUCCGGAUUUAUUGGGCGUAAAGCGAGCGCAGGCGGUUUCUUAAGUCUGAUGUGAAAGCCCCCGGCUCAACCGGGGAGGGUCAUUGGAAACUGGGAGACUUGAGUGCAGAAGAGGAGAGUGGAAUUCCAUGUGUAGCGGUGAAAUGCGUAGAUAUAUGGAGGAACACCAGUGGCGAAGGCGGCUCUCUGGUCUGUAACUGACGCUGAGGCUCGAAAGCGUGGGGAGCAAACAGGAUUAGAUACCCUGGUAGUCCACGCCGUAAACGAUGAGUGCUAAGUGUUGGAGGGUUUCCGCCCUUCAGUGCUGCAGCUAACGCAUUAAGCACUCCGCCUGGGGAGUACGACCGCAAGGUUGAAACUCGAAGGAAUUGACGGGGGCCCGCACAAGCG
rnacentral:rRNA from 1 species